AACUAUGAGAUCCCUACUGCUGCUACUGAUAACGAUAACCUUGUUUCAAAGAUAUAGCUGUGUGCACCGCUACAUACCACGCCAUGAUGAUUGCAAUCAAACAGGUGAGCUUAGACUGGACAACCAGAGAACAAUGAACACUACAGCAGGAGCAGUACAAGUCUGUACAGCAUGGUCAAGUGGAGGGCAACAGUGGAGAUAUAUCAGUGCUGAUUAUUGGACAAACACAACAGUCAAAAAAGCAUGCCAGCAACUUGGUCUGGGGUACACAAGUGUAACUCUACUGGCAGUACUUCUGAAGGACACAACAGACAACAGACAACUUAGAGAUUGCUGCUGUAUUGAGCAGGCUAAUCAGGUUUCAGACUGUAUAAUUUCUAACACUUCUCUUUCGAAUUCAGUAAUACAACUCAAUUGUGGGGAUGACUGCAAAGAAAAUAGUACACGGUUAGUAAACGGACCGUCAAGCAGAAAUGGAACAGUUGAAAUAUGUCUCUCAAACCAAUGGAGAAGAGUUUGCAGCCAAGUAGCUGCGUUAAAUGAAAAUGCUGAAGUGGUUUGUAGACAAUUGGGAUAUCCAGUCAAUGGUGAAAACAUACAUUUUUCUAUUGAUUUAAUCAGCUUUAACAGGUGCUACCGGGAAAAAUGAGGAUCAAAAUGUGAUAACCAGGGAGACCCCAGUAAAUGAAUGUUAUUCUUGCAAAGGAAACGAGCUUUAUCUUGGUGAAUGCUUGCAACAAGGAAAUCAAUAUUGUACAUUUAGAGUGGGAUGCAGAUCACAUGAGCAAGUAGUUCGUGAUAAUGGAACAAUAUCUACGGACAAUGGCGGAAGCUGCUCAACAAACGUGUGUAACUGUGAGACUGACUGUCGACCAGAACCUGCAACUAUAACAAUGGAUACUACAAAUGAGCAGAGGCAGCUAUUCACUGACCAAUCAGACACUAUAAGCCCUUGGGUCACAACAGGAGUAUUGGCUCUAGUGCUACAAGUUACCAUCAUUGGGUGGAUUGUGUCAUGCAUCUACUUGCACAAAAAGCAAAAGAAAGGGCACCCUGAUCAAACACUGAGCAGCAGAGAUGAGCAAUCUCUCAACAACCCAGUGUAUGAUGGUAGCACUGUUCCACACACCACGUACAGCUCUCAUGGACCCUCCUAUGAGGUCAUUGACACUAAUGAGGGGGCGGGGCACAACUAUGAUGUCAUCAGUCAUAUGGGCGGGACCAGGCCACACCCACCUACCACACCUCCUGUGUCCAACGAGGAGUACAGUACGCUAGACACUAGCAGAGAGAAUCAUUAUCACACACUAGAGAGGGGUGGUCAAUAUCAGACUGAUUACGAGGUGCCCGCCCCCCCUCAGGGGGAAGAGUACUCUACACUGAAGCAUUGAUAGCCUACGUACUAA